GCGGCCUGUCAGCUUGUUGGUGAGGUAAUGGCUCACCAAGGCGACGACGGGUAGCCGGCCUGAGAGGGCGACCGGCCACACUGGGACUGAGACACGGCCCAGACUCCUACGGGAGGCAGCANCUGGGGAAUAUUGGGCAAUGGAGGAAACUCUGACCCAGCGACGCCGCGUGAGGGAUGAAGGCCUUCGGGUUGUAAACCUCUUUCAGUAGGGAAGAAGCGAAAGUGACGGUACCUACAGAAGAAGCACCGGCUAACUAUGUGCCAGCAGCCGCGGUAAUACAUAGGGUGCAAGCGUUGUCCGGAAUUAUUGGGCGUAAAGAGCUCGUANGUGGUUCGAUACGUCGGACGUGAAAAAUCAGGGGCUCAACCCCUGACCUGCAUUCGAUACGGGUCGAACUAGAGUUUGGUANGGGAGACUGGAAUUCCU
rnacentral:rRNA from 1 species